UAAAAUAUUAAAAAUAUAAAAUUGAUUUUAAUUAGGAAUAUGAAAAUAGCCAUAUGGGAACAGCAGAAUCAUAUCUGAAUCAAAUUGCUAAUCCAGUAUUUGAAUUGGAUGCUUUAGAUCAAGAUACCACAAACAAGAGAAUGAAAACCCAAUUAUCAUUAAAAAUAUUCCAACUCCUAUAUUUAAA